AACCUGGUUGAUCCUGCCAGUAGUCAUACGCUCGUCUCAAAGAUUAAGCCAUGCAUGUCUAAGUAUAAAUACUUUUACUUUGAAACUGCGAACGGCUCAUUAUAUCAGUUAUAAGUUUAUUUGAUAGUCCCUUACUACUUGGAUAACCGUAGUAAUUCUAGAGCUAAUACAUGCAUCAAUACCCAACUGUUCGCGGACGGGGUAGUAUUUAUUAGAUAGAAACCAACCCUCUUCGGAGGCGCUCAGGUGAUUCAUGAU
rnacentral:rRNA from 1 species